rnacentral:misc_RNA from 1 species
AAGUCGUAACAGGGUCUCCGUUGGUGAACCAGCGGAGGGAUCAUUAGAGAGUUGACCCUAACUCCCAAACCCCCUGUGAACAUACCAUACGUUGCCUCGGCGGGGGGCGCCACCCGCCGGCGGCCCAUGAAACUCUGUUUUGCCCUAAAUCUCUGAAGCGAGGAACUAAAUCAGUUAAAA